CCUAGCGGCAGACGGGUGAGUAACAUGUGGGAAUCUGCCUUUUGGUUCGGAACAACACGGGGAAACCUGUGCUAAUACCGGAUAAUGUCUUCGGACCAAAGAUUUAUUGCCUUUAGAUGGGCCCGCGUUGGAUUAGAUAGUUGGUGGGGUAAUGGCCUACCAAGGCAACGAUCAAUAGCUGUUCUUAGAGGAAGACCAGCCACAUUGGGACUGAGACACGGCCCAAACUCC
rnacentral:rRNA from 1 species